AGAGAGAGACAUGCGCGCAUAUCAAUAAGCGGAGGAAAAGAAACUAACAAGGAUUCCCUUAGUAACGGCGAGUGAAGCGGGAAGAGCUCAAAUUUGAAAUCUUCAAGGUUUUACCUUGACGAAUUGUAGUUUAAAGAAGUGUUUUCUGCUGAAGUUUUGGUAAAAGUUCUUUGGAAUAGGACAUCAUAGAGGGUGAGAAUCCCGUAUUUGACCAUUAUUUUCAGCUUUGUGAUAUACUUUCAAAGAGUCGGAUUGUUUGGGAAUGCAGUCCAAAAUGGGUGGUAAAUUUCAUCUAAAGCUAAAUAUUGGCGAGAGACCGAUAGCGAACAAGUACCGUGAGGGAAAGAUGAAAAGAACUUUGAAAAGAGAGUUAAACAGUACGUGAAAUUGUCAAAAGGGAAGCGUUUGACACCAGUGUUGUUUUCUCGAAAAUCAAUUAAAAAUGGCUCGAUUUUGUAUUGCUUGAGACCUUAAAAGCUCACUGUACAUUUUUCGUGUCUUUUUUAAUGCACUUUUCGUUUAACAAGUCAACAUCAGUUUCUUUUGUUGUAAAAGGGUCAUUGGAAGGUGGCUUUCUUUUCGGAGAAAGUGUUUAUAGCCUUUGGCCUCUGCAAUCGGAGAGACUGAGGUCUGCAGCGUAGACUCUUCGGGGUUAGAUACAUUUGUGCUAAGUUAUAGCUUUUUAUAGACAACUUGUUGACUAUAAUUAGUCUUGUAGCUUACUCGCUUAUGCUAUUUUACCUACGCUUAGGAUGUUGAAGAUGUAGCACAUCAU
rnacentral:rRNA from 1 species